ACCUGAUGCAGCGACGCCGCGUGGAUGAAGAAGGCCUUAGGGUUGUAAAGUCCUUUCACCGGGGAGGAUGAUGACGUUACCCGGAGAAGAAGCACCGGCUAACUCCGUGCCAGCAGCCGCGGUAAUA
rnacentral:rRNA from 1 species